CUACGGGAGGCUCCAGUGGGGAAUAUUGCACAAUGGGCGCAAGCCUGAUGCAGCCAUGCCGCGUGUAUGAAGAAGGCCUUCGGGUUGUAAAGUACUUUCAGCGGGGAGGAAGGGAGUAAAGUUAAUACCUUUGCUCAUUGACGUUACCCGCAGAAGAAGCACCGGCUAACUCCGUGCCAGCAGCCGCGGUAAUACGGAGGGUGCAAGCGUUAAUCGGAAUUACUGGGCGUAAAGCGCACGCAGGCGGUUUGUUAAGUCAGAUGUGAAAUCCCCGGGUUCAACCUGGGAACUGCAUCUGAGACUGGCAAGCUUGAGUCUCGUAGAGGGGGGUAGAAUUCCAGGUGUAGCGGUGAAAUGCGUAGAGAUCUGGAGGAAUACCGGUGGCGAAGGCGGCCCCCUGGACGAAGACUGACGCUCAGGUGCGAAAGCGUGGGGAGCAAACAGGAUUAGAUACCCGAGUAGUC
rnacentral:rRNA from 1 species